rnacentral:rRNA from 1 species
GGGGAAUUUUCCGCAAUGGGCGAAAGCCUGACGGAGCAAGACCGCGUGGGGGAAGAAGGCUCUUGGGUUGUAAACUCCUUUUCUCUGGGAAGAACAAAAUGACGGUACCAGAGGAAUCAGCAUCGGCUAACUCCGUGCCAGCAGCCGCGGUAAGACGGAGGAUGCAAGCGUUAUCCGGAAUGAUUGGGCGUAAAGCGUCCGCAGGUGGCAGUUCAAGUCUGCUGUCAAAGACCGGGGCUUAACCUCGGAAAGGCAGUGGAAACUGAACAGCUAGAGUAUGGUAGGGGCAAAGGGAAUUCCUGGUGUAGCGGUGAAAUGCGUAGAGAUCAGGAAGAACAUCGGUGGCGAAGGCGCUUUGCUGGACCAUAACUGACACUCAGGGACGAAAGCUAGGGGAGCGAAUGGGAUUAGAUACCCCAGUAGUCCUAGCCGUAAACGAUGGAUACUAGGUGUUGUCUGUAUCGACCCGGACAGUGCCGUAGCUAACGCGUUAAGUAUCCCGCCUGGGGAGUACGCAGGCAACUGUGAAACUCAAAGGAAUUGACGGGGGCCCGCACAAGCGGUGGAGUAUGUGGUUUAAUUCGAUGCAACGCGAAGAACCUUACCAGGACUUGACAUGUCGCGAAUCUAGUGGAAACACAAGAGUGCCUUAGGGAGCGCGAACACAGGUGGUGCAUGGCUGUCGUCAGCUCGUGUCGUGAGAUGUUGGGUUAAGUCCCGCAACGAGCGCAACCCUCGUGUUUAGUUGCCAUCAUUAAGUUGGGAACUCUAAACAGACUGCCGGUGACAAACCGGAGGAAGGUGGGGAUGACGUCAAGUCAGCAUGCCCCUUACGUCCUGGGCUACACACGUACUACAAUGGUAGGGACAGAGGGCAGCCAACUCGCGAGAGAGAGCUAAUCCCGUAAACCCUGCCUCAGUUCAGAUUGCAGGCUGCAACUCGCCUGCAUGAAGGCGGAAUCGCUAGUAAUCGCAGGUCAGCAUACUGCGGUGAAUCCGUUCCCGGGCCUUGUACACACCGCCCGUCACACCAUGGAAGUUGGCCACGCCCGAAGUCAUUACUCUAACCUUUCGAGGGGGAGGAUGCCGAAGGCAGGGCUGAUGACUGGGGUGAAGUCGUAACAAGGUAGCCGUACCGGAAGGUGUGGCUGGAUCACCUCCUUYUAGGGAGACCAUCUGAAGACAGACCGAACCUAAACAUAAAAGGUCUAGAAGCAGUCAUCCCUGGUCGUUCGAGAUAAUAGAGUCAAAGCUUUCAAACUAUUAACAGGUUCAGGUAACGGGCUAUUAGCUCAGUUGGUUAGAGCGCACCCCUGAUAAGGGUGAGGUCCCUGGUUCAAAUCCAGGAUGGCCCACCUGGAAACAAGUGAUCAAUUUUCAGUGUUGAGUGAAGGAACCAAAAGUCCCCAAUAAAGCACAGAAAAGCGACGCACUAGCUUAGUGGGGGUAUAGCUCAGUUGGUAGAGCGCCUGCCUUGCACGCAGGAAGUCAGCGGUUCGAGUCCGCUUACCUCCACUCUCACUCAACCAAGGCARGAAAUAACAAAGAUGAAGUAGAAAUCAGCACCUAGACCAGCCGAAAGCUAGUCAGAAUGCUGGAGUCUCGACUCUAGUAAGAACCUUGAAAACUGCAUAGAAACAAAGUAAUCAUCAAACAGGUGAGAAAACUGAGAAAUCAGCAUCACCAAAGACCAUCAGUAAAUGAUGUUGGUCAAGUUACAAAGGGCUAACGGUGGAUACCUAGGCACACAGAG